AGACGAGUAGCUUAAGUAAAGCAUAAACUUUUUAAGUUUAGGAUAUUUGGAAAAUCUCGGCUA
rnacentral:tRNA from 1 species